UACGGAGGGUGCAAGCGUUAUCCGGAUUUACUGGGUUUAAAGGGUGCGUAGGUGGGUCAGUAAGUCAGUGGUGAAUCUUCAAGCUUAACUUGGAAACUGCCAUUGAUACUAUUGAUCUUGAAUUAUCUGGAGGUAAGCGGAAUAUGUCAUGUAGCGGUGAAAUGCUUAGAUAUGACAUAGAACACCAUUGCGAAGGCAGCUUACUACGGAUAUAUUGACACUGAGGCACGAAAGCGUGGGGAUCAAACAGG
rnacentral:rRNA from 1 species